AGUGAACGCUGGCGGUAGGCCUAACACAUGCAAGUCGAACGGCAGCACAGGAGAGCUUGCUCUCUGGGUGGCGAGUGGCGGACGGGUGAGGAAUACAUCGGAAUCUACCUUUUUCGUGGGGAUAACGUAGGGAAACUUACGCUAAUACCGCAUACGACCUACGGGUGAAAGUGGGGACCGCAAGGCCUCACGCGAUUAGAUGAGCCGAUGUCCGAUUAGCUAGUUGGCGGGGUAAUGGCCCACCAAGGCGACGAUCGGUAGCUGGUCUGAGAGGAUGAUCAGCCACACUGGAACUGAGACACGGUCCAGACUCCUACGGGAGGCAGCAGUGGGGAAUAUUGGACAAUGGGCGCAAGCCUGAUCCAGCCAUACCGCGUGGGUGAAGAAGGCCUCGGUUGUAAGCC
rnacentral:rRNA from 1 species